AUCCCCGUGGCCCAUGAUGCCGUCCAUGAAAGCUAUUUUUAGAUUGCGCGUGCUUGUCAAUCAUAGCAUCCAUAUAUGGCUCAUCGCGCCAUAUUUGGUUAUGGGCACCUUGCGAGCUAGUACAUUUUCACCAUUUUUUUCCCUCUGCACUUCUUGACUUCGUUCGCUACCUGUUUUUAUCCUUUUAGCUGCUUCUCAUAGUUCGUGGUUACAAUGCUACUCGUAGGGUGGUGUCCUGGUAUCUGUUAAGUUAUCUAAUGUUCAGUUAUCUAAAUGUUAUAUAAAUAAUUGAACGGGAAGACGUCGGGGAGACGGCGAAUUUGGAGUUCAUACAAGAUUCAUCAGGCUGACUCCUAAAAAAAAUAUUUUUCUCUUCAAUACGGCAAUGAAGAAACAGCGGAGUUGCAGCAAGGGAUAUCGUAUCCAUUUAUUGUAGCUUAAUGCGGUCCAUAAUUGAAUAUAUCUCCGCCAACGCCAUUGAGUGAGUCCAGAAGCGAGCCCUUCGCAUCAUCUGGCCGGGUGUGUCAUACAAUGACGCCCUGGAAAGGGCACAGAUCCAAACGUUUUAUAAGUAGGAAAGAAAGUGAAGAUUUUCUAUUUCCCCUUAUCAGUAACAGAGUUGUAAAGUCUUUCGGCCGCUAUAACCUAAGAUCAAACCGUAUCUACUACCCUGUACUAAAUAAUACUGAACGCUUUUCUAAUUUUGUAACUGUAAAGUAACAGCCUAUUUGUUUAGUCACUAUUAUUUGGGCGUUCAAUACUAAUUUAUGUAAUCAGCCUUUAAUUCAGUCGUAACUGUAAUAGUUUUGAAUACACUUCAUUAUCAUUA